GAAGGUUUUAUUACAGUGGUUAAGAUGGAUUUUCAUUGUGUUCCAUAGUGUUUAUUGCUCCCUAUCGGAGCUUUCUGGUCGUUAGAAAGACUGUACGGAAACAGGAAGUAGAGUAGUCGUUCUGCACGCAGAGAAGCAGCUAAAAACAAAGCUACGGUGCAGGGCUUUCAGUGCAGUUAUUUCUUGUCACGAUUCAGCCUCAGAAAAUAUUUGUUUAUGAACGUGAUGCCUUCAGGCAUUUGGAAAUUGCUCCCAAGGAUGAACCAGACUUGUGGAGGUCUACAAAAAAAAAUCCUGAUCGUUUUAUAUUUUCCCAUGAUGUUAAGCAAAGAGGCACUGAGUUUGAAGGUAGGCCUUGAAAUACAUCCACAGGUACACCUUCAAUUGACUCAAAUGAGGUCAAUUAGCCUAUCAGAAGCUUCUAGAGCCAUGACAUAAUUUUCCAAGCUGUUCAAAGGCACAGUCAACUUUGUGUAUGUUAACUUCUGAACCACUGGAUUUGUGAUACAGUGAAUUAUACGUGAAAUAGUCUGUCUGUAAACAAUUGUUGGAAAAAUGUGUUGUGACAUGCACAAAGUAGAUGUCCUAACCGACUUGCCAAAACUAUAGUUUGUUAACAAGAAAUUUGUGGAGUGGUUGAAGUUUUAAUGACUCCAACCUAAGUGUAUGUAAACUUCCGACUUCAACUGUAUGUGACCAAUAAAAUGUGAUUGGAUUUGA